AUGAGCCAAAUAUCAAACUUUAAUCUUCUACCCACUUUAUUUUUGCUUAAAAACAGGAAGACAGAAUGUCUUGUCAAGGGUCACCCCAGGAGGAGGAGUAAAUUCCCCCAAAAAAGCAGAACAUAUUUUUAUGAUUUAAUUAAUACAGUUUCUCUCAAUGUAUCUGUUUAUCAUUUGAGCAUCCGCAUGAUCAGACCUGACUUCUGCCUGCAUUUUCUUGCUUGUCUUCAGUUAAGAACCUUUUGGGUUUUUCUUUUUGCUCUUUUUUUCCCCCAGCAGUACGGUGUAGUAAGUUUGGAACAAGACGCACCUGAAAUCAAAUACCUGUCCUAUGCCUGCAGGCUGGAGUGCGGUAGCACAAUCUCGGCUCACUACAACCUCCACCUCCCAGAUUCAAGCGAUUCUCCUGCCUCAGCCUCCCUAGUAUCCUGUGUGUUAAGCUCCAAUCUUCGUCACGUGAGAGUAUUUGAAAUGGAUAUAGAUGAUGACUGAGAGCUCGAUGAGUCUUCAGAUGAAGAGGAGGAGGCCAGUAACGAGCCUGUGAAAAUAAAGGAAGAAGUGUUGUCAGAGUCGGAGGCAGAGAACCAACAAGCCGGUGCUGCCGCCUUAGCUCCAGAGAUAGUCCUCAAAGUGGAAAAACUUGACCCUGAGCUAGAUUCAUAAUCUAGCUUGCUAUUACUGUGUGUGUCAUUAUGGCCAAAAGGACCUAGGAGAUGGACUGAGAUGUCUUGGACCACCUUUAAUUUUCUUUGUGUGACAAAGAAAUAAACAGUCAAUUUUAUUUUUUCAAAAUUACAGGCACAUGCCACCACAUUCAACUAAUUUUUGUAUUUUUAGUAAAGACGGGGUUUCAUCAUGUUGGCCAAAAUGGUCUCCAUCUCUUGACCUCCUAAUCCACCUGCCUCAGCCUCCUAAAGUGUUGGGAUUACAGGUGUGAGCCACCAAAGUUUCUUUUGCCAACAACUUGAAAUGAAAAAAGCGGAGAACUGACUGGCCUUAUUUGUUUUAGAUUCUGGACUUUACUAGGACUUCCUACUCUCAGAAUCUCUGGACUAUAAAAGCUGGGUGGGGUGGGAGCUGGGAACGUUCUUCUGGGAAAUUAAUCACAAAUGAAAAGAAAAUCAACUCUCAGACUCCAGUUAGAAGACUUUUGAAAAUUGCAGAACAUGAGUGGCCUUCAUUCAUUCAAGUCACAAUAUUUAAAGCAGUCCUUGCUAAAAAGAACUUGAUUUUGUAAAAGCAGUGUCUUAAAUAGAAUUGCUUCUCAAGAAAACAACAGGAAAUUGAUGUCUGAAUGGUUUUAUUUACAAACAUCUCGCUCUGUAAACCUCUGCAGGUAUUUCCACGCUCCCAGGGGCCACCGUCCCAUUUCACAUAUAAUUUGGAUCACGGUUCUGUUGGUCGUCACACACAUCAAACGAAUGGCUUUUCAUGCUACUUUUAUCCAUAAAGCUAUACAAACUUUAAGGGCAGCUGUAUAUGUGACAACUUGAAAAAGAUCUGCCAAAAGGUGUGAUACCAAGCUUUGCUUUUCAUAGCACUAAAAUGAUGCUCACUACAGAAAUACUUUCAAUAUGUGAGUGGAAACACAUUUCUCUACGGGGACUCCUGGUCAGGGAGUCUCUCUAAAGAAAAGUCACAGUACUGUGGCUCAGAUCAUGGGCUCAGAAGUCAAAUGAGAAGCCCAAGACCAGUCCUUCUGAGCUGUGUGAACUUAGACGAGUUGCCUAAUCUCUCUGUGUCUCAGCUCUCUCCCAGUGUUGUCAAUGGGAGUGCUGUGAGAGCAAUGUUGUAAAAAGCGCUUAGAACUGUGUCUGGCACACAGAAAGCACUCGAUAAAUAUUGACCUGGUUAUCUGCAGUGCAUCAUUACAGCAUCUCUACAUCACAAGGGGCCUGAUGGGAAGAGACCAGCACUGAGAUUGAAUAAAACAGUGCCGGCUCUCACCUGCUCUGCCAUUGUCUCCUAAGCGGUUGUUUGUUUGUUUUUUGUUUUUUGUUUUUUUUUUGAGACAGAGUCUCACUGUCACCCAGACUGGAGUGCAGUGGCACCAUCUCAGCUCACUGCAACCUCUGCCUCUUGGGUUCAAGUGAUUCUUCUGCCUCAGCCUUCUAUGUAGCUGGGAUUACAGGUGCGUGCCACCAUGCCCGGCAAAUUUUUAUAUUUAUUAGAGACGGGGUUUCAUCAUGUUGGUCAGGCUGGUCUCGAACUCCUGACCUCAUGAUCCCCCGACCUCAGCCUCCCAAAGUGCUGGGAUUACAGGCAUGAGCCACUGUGCUCCACCCUCCUAAGCUUUUUAAAUCUCACUUUUCACCAGUAACUAAUGAAAAGAUUGAAGGAGUGGGUCCCCUGAGGUCUUUUCAAUUUCUAAAAUUCUCCAGCUUUAUUUAAUCCUGCAGUGAAUCCUUUUGCAAGGUAAAGAGUACUUACUCCCCUCAAUAACCUCUUAUGCGUUUAGGUUUUGUUGCAUAGGGCAAUGCCCAGGACAUUGAUGAUUUUCACUGUCACCAUAGCCCACAGGUGAUGUGAGCAAUCCAUUAGCUUGUUUCUGGAAACAAGCCUGUAUGUAUUUGUUCCCCCAGCAUCUGCUCUCAGCACACUGACUUUUCCCAGUAUAUGUGUUGGAUGGAUAAGUGAACGAAUGAAUGAAUGACAUAAAGAUUGUAAAUUGCCUCAGCCUUCUACUGGAAAAUAACCUAAAGGAAAGGGGAAAAUUGCUACUUAACACCACAAGUGCCACUCCAGGGAUGCAUUCUAUGAAAGGAGGAGUGCUAACUGCCAGGUCCCCACUGGUCCUUGGUGCUGCUUAUGGCCUGGAAGACCUCUCCUGCAGUCAAGAGCCCUGACGUGCUGGCUGGGCAAAGGUGAGUCUGGGAGCUUUAGGUGUAGCAAUGGAGAGAAUUCACUCUCUUUGCCUAAGAAAGAGGACUUAGAGGGGAACUUGAAAGAGGGAGUAAGAGAGAGGGCAAUAAGACAGUCUGAGGCUAGGCACUCCAUGCAGUGUGAGGCCAGUCUGGAGGUGGGGUUGUCUGGAAAACAUUCAGCAAUGGGACAUCUGCUCUUCUGUCUUCUGUGGCAUUUUAAGUUCUGUACAGCAAUGUCGUGCUUUUCCUUAACAACUUCCCAGCUUGUAUUUGUAGGUACUGAGAUGCAAGGUUGCAGGGGAGGCAGGGAACCCAGACUGGGAUCAAUACCAGGACUGAGAUAAAGGAACAGCUGUAAGACCAAGAGAACAAGACCUCAGCAAAAUCAGGGAAUUCGGGGCCCGCCAUGGUGAUGGGAACGUGGGCUCUGAGGAACCACAGACAGCCAAGGAAGACCUUGGCCUCUCCAUGGGAAUGGACAGCCCAACUUGUCUCCCUCUCACGGAGAAGAUGACCUCUGGAUAUGUGAGUCACAAAAGGCCAGAACUUUUCUGCAUCACAAAGUCACCUCUAGCCAUUAGCCUGGUGGCCUUCCCUCCAGCAUUCUGUCUGAAAGGACACAUGCCAUUUAGCUGGGAAAUUAUAUCAAAACCAAUCCAAGAAAGGCUAACAACGAACCCAGCCUGCUGAAAAAAUGUGUGCAGAUCUCCCACAGCACCCUCUUACAAACACAGGUCAUUUGGAAUAGCCACCUGGGCCAGUGGCAGCUGGUACUGAGCAAUCCACCCCCAACUCUCAAAGCCCGUCUUUUCCUGUCCUGGUCAGGUCUGUUUCUUCUCUCUUGAUCAACAGAAAUGACUCCCAAACUACUUAGCACAGAGCAGCUCAUGAGUAUAGAUUCAAAUAGGUCAUACUCGAUUAUGAAAUCAGGCUGCCUGGGCCAGACCUGACAUAACCCUGAUCCCAAAGGACCACCCCUACCCUUCCCUGGGAACCACCAGAAAAGUGGUCAUAUGUGCCUAAGACGUGCUCGCCACCAGUGCCCCAGACACUUAUGUGCUAAAAGGGCCAACAUGCAGAUUCGGAUUCAGAGGUCCAGUUGGGGCCUGAGAAUCUGCACUCUCUGCAAGCCCCCAGGUGGUGCUAACACAGCAGAAACAUUGGCCUCUUAGGCCCCACCACGGACCUAACUAAAGCCAAAUCUGCACUGGAACAAGAUGCCCAGGCCGUCUACCACCCUGAAGUUGUUCAUGCUGGCCUCACUUAGAUGAGGGAGUUCCAGAUUAGAGAAAGGUCAGAUCACCAGAGCCCAAAUGGGCAGCCACCAGAGUGAGGAGGAGAGGAGGGAGGGGCAGGUCAGAGAGGUCAGCAGGACUAGAUUCUGCAGUACCUGGAGCCACAGUGGGGAAUUGAAGCUGUCCUGGCUCACUGGAAAGCCAGUGGACGAUUUCCAAGAGGAGAGUGACAAAAUCAGAGGGAACAUUUUUUUUUUUUUUUGUCCACUACACUAGUGACAGAGGGAACAUUUUAUAGGAUCCUUCUGGCUGGGGGAUACAGGACCACUUGUGGGGGGAUAGGUGAAUUAAGGGAGGUCCUAGAGGGAUCUAGGGUAGCGGUCCAGUCCAAGAGACCUAGAGAGGGUAGCCACAGUAAGCAGACAAGCACAUCGCACAUGGUCCAGGGUGCUUUGCAGGCCUCUGAGUCGGUCAAAUACAAAAGGAAAGCCCUCCCACUUUCCCUUCUCCCUGGAACAGAUCUCUCUGACUUCUCACCUGGAAGCUACCCACAGGUUGCCAACUCCUCCUUCUGUUUCCUAACCCUCCCUCCUUCAAUCCAUCUGACACUUUCCUGACCCUGCUCAAAAACCUUCAAUAGCUCCCCAUUGCCUACCAAAUGAUCUACAACCUCCUCGGCCCACACUUUUAUGUUCUACUUCUAUUUCUGCCUGACCCAUGACACAGUAGUUCAUGCUUUCAUUCAUGCAACAAAUAUGUAUUGAGUACCAUCAACAUGGAAGGCACUAAAAAGAAAUCACUCAUCUGCCAAGGCACAUAGUCAAUUUCAGGAGGGUUAUAGCCACGCUGAAACGCUCUCCCAGAUAAGUGCUCUGACUGCAGCAAAUAAAAAUAAUGAUAGACAACACUUAUUAAAUACUGUGUGCCAACUAUCAUGUCACUUUGUGGGACUAUCUUAAUAACGUUCCUCAGACACGUGUAAUGGAGAGGGGUGGCCUCAUUUUGUUUUGUUUUUGUUUGAGACAGGGUCUCACUCUGUCACCAAGGCUGCAGUGCAGCGGUGUGAUCUCAGCUCACUGUAGCUUCAAUCUCCUGGGUUUAAGCAGUCUUCCCACUUGAGUCUCCCAAGUAGCUAAGACCACAGGUAUGUGCCACCACGCCUGGCUAAUCUUUUUGUUUUCUGGGGGAUGUUACCAUGUUGCCCAGGCUGAUCGUGAACUCCUGAGCUCAAGCGAUCCACCUGCCUCGGCCUCCCAAAGUGCCAGGAUUACAGGUGUGAGCCACUGCACCUG
rnacentral:lncRNA from 1 species